UGCCCUCAUAAAAGAGAUCCUGGAGAGAUCCGUCUCUCGCCCUCUUUCCACCGAGUGAAGAUAUAAGAAGUCAGCCAUCUGGAAACUAGGGAGAGAACCCUCAUAGAACCUGACCAUGCCUGUACCUUAGACUGACCUUAGACUUCCAGCCCCCAGAAUUGAGUUUUUCAAAGCAUUAAUUGGCCUAUCUAGCAGGGACUGAGUGAGAUGGUACAUUGUAUAUUUAUCAAAAGAUGCUUCCAGUUUCACCUUGGCCUGGGCAACUGCAGACAGUCUCCUUGGAUGAUUCUUGUGACUCUUCCCCCAACACCUGAGUGGCUCCUCGUGGUUGGGUACAUGAGCCUGAAGUCGAUGCUGGGAACUGAGUCACCAAGAGCAUGGAUGCUUCCAUCAAGGCAGACAAGAUUUAAAAACCUAGUUUCAGUGGCACUAAUGAGACCAAUAGCAAACCCAG
rnacentral:lncRNA from 1 species